GAGUAACACAACUUUAGAUAUGAAAUAGACAAGCAAACACGCUAAAAAUUGCCUAUUUAUCAAAAAAUAAAAACAUGAUAAAAACAAUACACAACUAGCAUGUUCAAUAUUUUUUUUAGCUAGAGAGUGUCAUCAAAAGACUAAAACAACUGGAAUCACAACUUUUGGACUUCUAUAACUCAAUAUAUGCAUCUAACAACUUAAAAGGAUUUCUAAAAGCACUUUGAAAGAAUAAAUAAAAACAUCAGAAACUUUAUACUAAAACAUAUCAUAUUAUGAAUCUACUGUGUAAUUCUUCUCACAAGGAUUCGAAAACAUCUUCAUUUGCUAUUUUAUUAUUUUUCUACAAUUUACCACGAAUUUUUAAAGUUUCAGCCUUUUUAUAUCUAGAAAAUAAACAAAACCGAGACGAUCUUACGAUCUACCCCCUGGGUCUACGGGUUAAUUGCGCAAACGUCCCUGAAACUUCCCCAUAACCCCCUACCUUUCCUCUUUCUUCUCCACUCAACUCCCUCAUGCACAGACAGAGGCACGCACGGUUCACAGGCAAGGUGCAUGGCACUUAGGCCGGCCAGAAUCAGGGGGAAAGGUAGGGGCACGGCUUGGGGAGGGAGAGGGGUGGCACCUUGGGCCAGGCGACUCACCAACAGAGGAGGAGGCAUUUGGAGGAGGGGCGGCGCACAGGGAGGACGGCACAGGAAGAAGCUCCCAUGGAGGGCAUCAUCCGGUGAGGGAGGGAGCCCGGGAAGUAGCAAAAAGGAUGCGGGACGACGAGUAGGCGCCGUGGCUGCGCGGAAUCGGGCCGGGAGUGCACUGUUGGAGGUAUGCCCUAGAGGCAAUCAUAGAGAUGAUGAUAUUCCAUUUGUAUCCAUGAUUUAUAUUGUGUUCCUUGAAUAUCCAUUAAAGGUACUUGAAUUGAUUUGCAAUUAUGUGAAUUGUAUGUGAAACUCUUUACUUGUAUGGUUAUUCUAAAGUUGUCCCUAGUUGGAGUUCAUGUGAGGACACACAUGAAUAUUAGACUAGCACAUGUAUUAGUUGAUGACUAUGUUUCACAAGUCAUGGACAUGGAGAUGUUGAACUAAUAAUGUGGGCACAUGUGGAGACAUGUGCUAGGACUGACCCAACACGAGAAGUAGUUCUCUCUUUAAACAACAUAUACGCUUUGUCCUUAGACUUGAGAUUGUUGCAUGUAUUCAAGAUGUGGAUCGACCUACUUAGGGGCUAUCAAACGCUACGCCGUAACAGGGUAGUUAUAAAGGUAUCUUUCGGGUUUGUCAAGAAGCAUGCUAUGAGACAUGAUCAAUCAUGAUAGGAUUUGUCCCUCUCUGAUUGAGAGUGAUAUCUCUGGGUCCCUCGAGUGAUCGGAUCCGAAAAUGCAUGGCCAUGCUAUGUACGGUUAAGAGUUAACCUACAAAGGGAUUCCGAAUCACAGGAUCUAGAAAGAGCGGUCGGCUUGAAGCUAGACCAAAUAUCGUGAGGCAAAGGGAAUAGUAUGUAUAUAAUGUUGUGAUGGUUCGUCUGAUAUGAUCUUCGUGUGCAUAUAGGAGUUGGCACGUCUUGUUAGAGGCCGCUACCGACUAUUGGGCCGAGUAGGAGUACUCGGGCCAUGUCUAUACGUAUCCGAACCCAUAGGGUCACACACUUAAGGGGCUGAAAGCCCAAUUCAGAUGUGAUCCAAGUUGGAUUAGGUUUAGAAGUACUAAUGGGCCUUGGACCCAGAGGCCCGUUAGGAACCUCUAUAAAUAGAGGGGUGGGGGCGCCCUAGGGUUUACACUUUUUUGGCGAAACACAUCUGCCGCGCCUCCCAUGCCCUCACCUGUUGCAACUCACAGAUCUAGCAGUCCGGCUUGCGACGCUUCCUACCUGCACGUGUGGAUACCUUGGAGGUGUUGCGCCUGCAGCACUUGGACGAGCCGCUGACGAGCCACGAUGAGCCGCCGACGAGUCACGACGAGCCGACGACGAGCCGCGGGACGAGGGCGAGCUGCUGAGGAGCUGCUGGACGUCGACGUGAUCGACUACGUACGACUACGCUGAUCAACUUCGCUGCAUCGUAGCGAAUCUACAUCUUCCACACCAGUGCGUCGAGUGGUAAUCCCGUGAUCCUUAUACGGCAGUUUUCCUGGUUUACGCGGUAGAAAUUUUUUAUUUGCGCUAGUGUAGCCUACCUCGUAUUCCUACAGUGGUAUCAGAGCUGUAGCUGUUUAGUUUUAGAUUCGGGAUGUGUGCAUAUGGAGAUAUGCGAGUUUUCAGUUUGAUCUAUGUCCUGGUUUCGUAUUCUUACUGCAAUGGUAGUGUAACGACAUACUCCUACCGGUCGGGUUUCCGCCAUCGGAGUUAAGUGAUACACGUAAUUCCUGUUGCAGUGAGCGAAGAUCAAUGUGAUUGGUCGAAUCGAAAUCCAGGUUCAUACGCCAGGCGCAUGAGAUGUGCAAUAGUAGAUGGGAUCUACUACCAGGGUUGGGAUUUUGCCGUGUGCGUAUGCUUCGGUAAAUCAGCCGUAACUUUUCGGUACGAUCUCGGAUCGGGGCGAAUUUUAUAUGAAAAUUGAUCUAUAGAAAAAGUUACACAUGAAAUUCAAUGGUCUUGCCAUUUUCAGCGAAAUUAGAUUUCCCAAAUUCGGCUUGGAAGAUAGAGUUUCGGGUCUCCGAAGUUUGGAACGUUAGGACGCUUAACUCUGUUUUGCAGGAUGUAUGUAUCUUGUGAUCAGUAUGGCCCCCUUGUGUAUGUGAUGCAUGUCUGUAACUCAUUCGUGACCUGCGUAUCGCGCGUACGGCAACACGGCAUGAGCCAUAUGUGUUGUCACUUUAAUGUAUUUAAUGGUCUGCGUACCAAUUUGUGAUGAUCCAAGCAACUAUGUAAUCUUCAUUACUAGCUUUUUACUAGCUAUUAGGCGUAAUAGCAUGUUCUAGUUCUUGGAGGACUCAUCACCAGGAGGAUGGUGCACAUGGAACAUGGAGAUGGAGAUCACCAUGGUGAACAGGUUCUAUGGAGAUGGAUAUCACCAUAAGAAAACGGGUCGUACUGUGUCACAACUGUGUGAAUGCUAUUCUGUUUAUGUUUUACUUUCUGCAUGCUGUGAUGUUAGAAGUAGAACGAUCCCUCACAAAUUUUAAGUUAGUAUGCCCUCCCAACUAAAACUUGCACCGUCCCAUGUCUUGUACAAUUAGUGGUGGGUCUAUGAAAUUAGGGUGCCACUAGUUUUCCUUGAUUAGACGGGUUUGUGUCGGACACUUACACGCAUAAGGGUUUGUUUGCUUAACAAGGUUAACUUAACGGUUAAGGACUUUGGGGCAUAAAGGUUGGGCGCCGAGACAUGGAGAUGUCACCCAACAACAGGAGUCAUAUGUGAUAUGAUUAGCAAAAGUUGCUUACCGAUCUACCUUGUUUACUAGCGGUGAUGCUAAAGCUCACUAGUAGACUUGUUAGUUGUGGAUCCUGAAUCACUAAGUAUUAAUAGAGGGAUAUUGAUUUUAGUGGGAGUAGAUUCUGUUAAAAUAGUUUAAUGUGAUUUGCUCUAUCAUAGAUACGUUUGUCUUAGUGUAUUUUGCAUUACUUUUGUUGUAGAUUAAAUGGCACCUAGCAGCGCUACACCGUUUGCUUUGCAUUCGGUCCUUGAGAAGGACAAGUUGAAUAGAACAAAUUACUCAGAUUGGAUCCGUAACCUGAGAAUUGUUCUCAGGGCUAAGAAAAAGGAAGAUGUUCUAGACAACCCACUACCACAAGAACCUGCUGAUGAUGUACCUGCUGCUGCUAAGAAUGCUUACAAGAAAGCAUGUGAUGCUAACCUCGAAGUAAGCUGCCUUAUGCUUGCUUGCAUGAAACCCGAGCUACAGAUGCAGUUCGAAACAAACCAUGAGGCGCACGAUAUGAUCGUGGCACUUAGAGACAUGUUCCAAACAUAGGCCAAGACUGAAAGGUUCAAUGUGUCUAAGGCCUUCGUGGAGAGCAAGCUAGCAGAAGGCGCAGCAGUAGGACCACACGUAAUCAAGAUGGUUGGUUACACUCAACGGUUGGAGAAGCUGGGCUUCCCACUGGGCCAAGAGUUGGCCACUGAUUUCAUUCUUUCAUCUCUUCCGCCUAGCUAUGGGAACUUCAUCUCGAACUACCAUAUGCAUGGGACGGAGAAGGGUCUGAAUGAGCUGUGUGGCAUGCUUAAAACAGUACAGGCUGACAUCAAGAAAAGCGCUAGUAGCAGCCAUGUGAUGGCUAUACAGAACAAGCCUAGCUUUAAGAAGAAGGGCAAUUCUUGGAGGAAGAAGGGUAAGGCUGGAACGUCCAAGCCAAACCCUGCGCCCAAGGUUAAAGCUGGACCUGGACCUGCUCCAGACAAAGAGUGCUUUUACUAUCAUGAACUUGGUCACUAGAAAAGAAAUUGCAAGCAGUACCUAGCUUCGUUGAAGAAUGGCGGAAGUAAGAGUACUUCCACCUCAGGUACGCUUGUUAUUAAUGUUAUAGACAACAUAUUUCUCGCUGAUACAAUUAUUAAUUCUUGGGUAUUUGAUACCGGAUCGGUUGCUAAUAUUUGCAAUUCGAUGCAGGGAAUGAUAAGAAGUAGAAGCGUGGAAAGAGGAGAAGUUGAUUUCCGCAUGGGCAAUAAUGCAAGAGUUGCCGCAUUGACCGUCGGGACAAUGAAACUCCACCUCCCGUCAGGAUUUAUUAUGGAGUUGAAUAAUUGUUAUUUUGUUCCUAGUUUAAGUCGAAACAUUUUGUCUCCUUCAUGCUUGAUGAAGGAUGGUUAUUCAUUUGCGAGUGAAAACAAUGGUUGUGUGAUCUCUAAGAAUGAUAUGUUUAUGGCUUUUGCACCCAUUGUGAAUGGAUUAUUUGUUUUAAAUCUUGAUGGUUCACCUAUCUGUAACGUAAGUGCUAAAAGGCCUCGGCCUAAUGAUUUGAGUCCUACCUACUUGUGGCAUCGUCGUUUGGGUCAUAUAAGUGAAAAGCGCAUGAAGAAGCUCCAUUCUGAUGGACUUCUAACUUCGUUUGAUUUUGAAUCAUACGAGACAUGUGAGGCUUGCUUGCUAGGCAAGAUGACCAAGACGCCUUUCACAGGAUUUCCUGAGAGAGCAGUAGACUUGUUGGAACUCGUACAUAGCGAUGUAUGCGGACCAAUGAGCACGACGGCUAGAGGAGGAUUCCGAUACUUCAUAAUUUUCACUGAUGAUUUUAGUAGAUAUGGCUAUGUCUACUUGAUGAGGCACAAGUCUGAAACCUUUGAAAAGUUCAAGGAAUUUCAGAAUGAAGUUGAAAAUCAGCGUGGCAAGAAAAUUAAGGCCUUACGAUCUGAUCGUGGAGGCGAGUAUUUGAGCCACGAGUUUAGUAAUCAUCUAAAGAGUUGCGGAAUUGUUCCAAAACUUACGCCGCCUGGAACACCUUAGAGAAACGGUGUAUCCGAGCGACGUAAUCGAACUUUGUUAGACAUGGUUCGAUCAAUGAUGAGCUAGUCGGACCUACCGUUGUUAUUUUGGGGAUACGCUCUAGAAACAGCAGCUUUCACACUUAAUAGGGUACCAUCUAAAUCCAUAGUUAAGACACCAUAUGAGAUAUGGACUGGAAAGGUUCCCAGUUUAUCUUUUCUAAAGAUUUGGGGAUGUGAAGUGUUUGUCAAGCGACUUCAGUCGGACAAGAUCACACCCAAGUCGAAUAAGUGCAUUUUCGUGGGAUAUCCAAAGGAAACUUUGGGAUAUUAUUUCUACAACUGAACAGAGGGCAAAGUGUUUGUCGCUCGGAAUGGGCUUUUCCUAGAGAAAGAGUUUCUCAAAGGAGAAAAGAGUGGAAAGACAGUGCAUCUUGAAGAAGUUCAAGAUGAGCCGAUUGGGCAAGAAUCAACGAGUGAUGCUAACGUAGCAGAACAAGUUGAGAUACCCAUGGCAAGAGAAGCACCGCCACAACCACGAAGGUCAGCAAGGCUCCGCGAAAUGCGGGAAAUAUUAUUAUUGGACAAUGAUGAGCCUACGGCAUAUGCAGAAGCAAUGAUGGACCCAGACUCCAAAAAAUGGCAGAGUGCCAUGCAAUCCAAAAUAGAGUCCAUGGGAGACAAUCAAGUUUGGAACUUGGUUGACCCGCCUGAUGGUGUUAAAUCCAUAGAGUGCAAGUGGAUCUAUAAGAAGAAAAAGGAUAUGGAUGGAAAUGUUCACAUCUAUAACUCACGACUUGUCGCAAAAGGUUUUCGACAAGUUCAAGGAGUUGACUACGACGAGACUUUCUCGCCCGUAGUGAUGCUUAAGUCCAUUCGGAUUAUUCUAGCUAUAGCUGCAUAUUUCGAUUAUGAGAUAUGGCAGAUGGAUGUCAAGACAGCUUUUCUGAAUGAAAACCUAGCUGAGGAUGUGUCUAUGAUACAACCUGAGGGUUUUGUCGAUCCGAAAAAUGCUGGAAAGGUAUGCAAGCUUCAAAGAUCCAUUUAUGGAUUGAAGCAAGCAUCUAGGAGUUGGAACAUUCGUUUUGAUGAAGUGGUCAAAGGGUUUGACUUCACCAAGAACGAAAAAGAGUCUUGUGUUUACAAGAAGGUUAGUGGGAGCUCUGUAGUAUUUCUAAUCUUAUAUGUAGAUGACAUAUUGCUGAUUGGAAAUAACAUUCCUAUGCUUGAGUCCGUAAAGACUUCACUGAAAAAUAGUUUUUCGAUGAAGGACUUAGGGGAAGCGGCAUAUAUUCUGGGCAUUAAGAUCUAUAGAGAUAGAUCGAGAAGGCUUAUAGGAUUAAGCCAAGAUACUUACAUUGACAAAGUGUUGAAGCGGUUCAGCAUGGAAGAGGCAAAGAAAGGGUUCUUACCUAUGUCACAUGGCAUACAUCUCAGCAAGACUCAGUGUCCUUCGAAUGCUGAUGAGCGGGAACGCAUGAGUAGAGUGCCAUAUGCCUCGGCUAUUGGAUCUAUCAUGUAUGCAAUGAUAAGUACUCGCCCAGAUGUUUCAUAUGCGCUAAGUAUGACAAGCAGACACCAGUCUGAUCCAGGUGAGAGUCACUGGACAACGGUGAAAAACAUUCUUAAGUAGUUGAGAAGGACCAAAGAUAUGUUCCUCGUCUAUGGAGGUGAGGAGGAGCUCGUUGUAACAGGUUACACCGAUGCUAGUUUCCAAACUGAUAGAGAUGAUUCAAAGUCACAAUCAGGAUUUUUGUUCACGCUAAAUGGUGGUGCUGUUAGUUGGAAGAGUUCCAAGCAGGAGAUGGUGCCCGAUUCUACGACAGAAGCCGAGUACAUCGCGGCUUCGGAAGCCACGAAGGAGGGUGUUUGGAUAAGGAAUUCCUUCAUUGAGCUUGGUGUGUUCCCGAAUGCGUCCAGCCCAUUGAAUCUCUACUGUGAUAACAAUGGGGCAAUUGCACAAGCAAAGGAGCCAAGGAACCACCAGAAGAACAAACACAUAAUGCGGAGAUUUCAUCUCAUUCGAGACUUCGUUAACCGGGGUGAGAUCAAGAUAUGCAAAAUACACACGGAUCUGAACAUUUCUGAUCCAUUGACAAAACCACUCCCGCAGGCUAAGCAUGAUGCGCAUGUAAGAGCUAUGGGUAUUAGGUACCUUCUAGAUUGACUCUAGUGCAAGUGGGAGACUGUUGGAGGUAUGCCCUAGAGGCAAUCAUAGAGAUGAUGAUAUUCCAUUUGUAUCCAUGAUUUAUAUUGUGUUCCUUGAAUAUCCAUUAAAGGGCACUUGAAUUGAUUUGCAAUUAUGUGAAUUGUGUGUGAAACUCUUUACUUGUAUGGUUAUUCUAAAGUUGUCCCUAGUCGGAGUUCUUGUGAGGACACACAUGAAUAUUAGACUAGCACAUGUAUUAGUUGAUGACUAUGUUUCACAAGUCAUGGAGAUGUUGAACUAAUAAUGUGGGCACAUGUGGAGACAUGUGCUAGGACUGACCCAACACAAGAUGUAGUUCUCUCUUUAACCAACAUAUACGCUUUGUCCUUAGAUCUGAGAUUGUCGCAAGUAUUCAAGAUGUGGAUCGACC
rnacentral:lncRNA from 1 species